GAGCCCUUAGCUCAGUUGGUAGAGCGUUCGAUUCACAUUCGAAAGGUCAAUGGUUCAAGUCCAUUAGGGCUCA
rnacentral:tRNA from 1 species